AUGCUGUUGGAAUAAUGGUGGUGAUCAACCCUUCCUCAAUGCAGGGUUGCCACAAACCUUCAAUUUGUAAAACAAAGUGAUAUCUGCAAAGUGCAAUGAUGUGAAAUACAGUAAAAGGAGUUAUGCCUGUAACUAUGUUUCUACUAUCUAAUUAAGAGAGACAUUCCACAAAUAAUUGAAAGCUCCUGUGUAUCCUUCUUCCCUGCCAUUCAUGUCUCUCUCCUCUCCCACAAAGUCGGUCUGCUGUGAUGUAUCUCAUGAGCCUCUGGAAAACUUCACUGAAACACUCACGAGAGAAUGAGAAUGAAAAAGGCAGAUGAUGUCCCUAGUGUUACAAGAAAAUGGUAUUGAUCUCAUGGACCUGCUGCUGCUCCAGGGAUUAUAACCAGGAGGCGCACUGCUGAGCAUCAUGUGCAUCCCUAACUGUUAGAUGUUAUCAGAGUGAACUUCAGAGUGAAUGUACCUGUUCACGCUCCCAUCGCUGGUUGAGAGUACCUGUCGCUCCACAAUUGUGUCAACACCUCUGCGCUCAGACAGAAACAAAUUUGCCAGUCCCAGUCUGAUGGUUGCGAAGUGGUAUCUUGUUGUUUUAAUUUGCAUUUUCUAGAUUAGUACAUUUAGUACUAGCCAGUAUAAGCUAUUAACAGUCACUCCCCAUUUCCUCCCAACCCCACUCCCCACCCCCAGCCCCUGGCAACCACUAAUCUUCAUUGCUGUUUCUGUGGAUUUGCCUAUUCUUGGACAUUUCAUGUGAGUGGAGUCAUACAAUAUGCAGUCUUCUGUGUCUGGCUUCUUUCAUUUAACAUAAUGUUUUCAAGGUUCACCUAUAUUGUGGCAAGUAUCUGUACUUUCCUUGCCUUUUUUUGUAUCUUUUUUUAAGUAUGAAAAUAUGCAGCAUAUUAAAAUGAGUGGUUUCGGUAUAAGAAGUGGUUUCAGUAUAGAACUAGUUGUUACUUAUCUUCUAUACAAAGGCUAUUGCCCUGGGUUUUAGAGAGACAAGACAUGUUUCGUUGCUCGACUCGUUCAAAAUCUUCUGUGGCUUACCUGUCCCCUCAUUCAUCCUUCUCUUUGACAUACUUCUUGUCUAUUCUUCAGUCCCUUACUGUCUGACACGUAGGAUCAUAAGGACAGUUUACAUUUUGUGAAUAGAUGUCAUGUUGAACAUUUUCCAUUAGUACUGCAGGCAUUCCUACAGCAACCUGAGAAGUAGAACCUCCUUUUGAAUAGUGGAACCUACCACUUUAAUUUUACAGUUUAGGAACCUGCAGCACAGGUGAAAAUCCCCCAGGGACACACAGAUUUGUAUCCAGGAUUGUCCGAUUCCACUGCCUAUGUAUUUUCCAAUUGAGAUAUACCAAAAAAUCACCCUUAUACAGUAUACAGUUCAGUGGUAUUUAGUGCAUUCACAUGGUUGUGUAACUGUCACCACUAUCUAAUUCUGGAACAUUUAAUCGCCCCUGCAAAGAAACCCUGUACCCAUAGCAGUCACUCCCCAUCUCUCCCUCGCCCCAGC